rfam:Rattus norvegicus chromosome 3, whole genome shotgun sequence.
GGGGAUUUAGCUCAGUGGUAGAGCGCUUGCCUGGCAAGUGCAAGGCCCUGGGUUCGGUCCCCAGCUCCG